rnacentral:tRNA from 1 species
GCGAUCGUGGCGGAACUGGCAGACGCGCACGUUUGAGGGGCGUGUGAUGUAUAUCAUAUGGGUUCAAGUCCCAUCGAUCGCACCA